UACGGAGGGUGCGAGCGUUGUCCGGAAUCACUGGGCGUAAAGGGCGCGUAGGUGGCGCGACAAGUCAACGGUGAAAGCUCGGCGCUCAACGCCGAGUCGGCCGUCGAUACUGUUGGGCUUGAGCACUGUAGAGGCUAAUGGAAUUCCGGGGUGUAGCGGUGGAAUGCGUAGAGAUCCGGAAGAACACCGGUGGCGAAGGCGGUUAGCUGGGCAGUUGCUGACACUGAGGCGCGACAGCGUGGGGAGCAAACAGG
rnacentral:rRNA from 1 species